rnacentral:lncRNA from 1 species
AAAGCUACGGAUGUCUACUUUCCAACAAAAUUUGAAUCAACUUAAUCAGACUUCUGUAGCUCCCGAAAUAUUCAAAAUACCACAUGGUGUUCAAUCUGUCAUGGAUUUCAACUGGAUCUGAACUCUGAAUUUCUUCCACAUGUGAGAGGUCUUCAUGGUUGAACUUCUCUUUAUUUUGACAUGUGACCACUUCUAAUUAGCCAUGGACCCAUUCACGCCUUGGACUCAAUCUAAUUGACACUGAAGAGGCUAACCCAUUGUGAAUCAAAUCACUUAUUGUAGGGACUCAAUCUAAUUUUAGCUUGGACUCAACUGUUCUUGGACU